CCGGCGGCCGAAUGGCUACAUUGGCGCCCGGCGGGUUCAUUCAUAAAGACGCGCGGCGGCGGCGGCGGUGCCUGGGGGUGGCUCGGUGCCCCGGCCCGGGGGGGGCCGGUAGCGGAUGCAGGGCUCCCCAGCAGAGGAUCCAGAUGUGGUCUCAAGACUUUCACAGCACGGCUGAGGUUGGAAGGAACCUCUGGAGAUCAUCUAGUCCAACCCCCCUGCUCAAGCAGGGUCACCAAGAGCACGUUGUCCAGGACCAUGUCCAGAUGGCUUUUGAGCAUCUUCAAGGAUGGCGACUCCACGACCUCUCUGGGCAACCUGCUUCAACCCAGCUUUCCCUAAAGGCCCUACGCUGGGUAGAAGAGCUCUGUUGCCUGUGAGGGUGACGAAGGAGAUGGAGCGGGAAGGGGAACCCAUUAAGGUGCAGCCCAUGGGGCUGGACCAGGCUGUGUCCAUGGCGCGCUGGGCCCCUCCUGCAGCCUCCCAGCCUCUCCCCUUGCUGGGAUGAGCACACAAGCGUAAUUAGCUGCAUCUCGCACUGUUGAUGCUGGAGACUUUAAUUAAGCUGCUGCAGACCAGCGGGAGGAGGGGUGUGCUUGGAGAAUGCGGUCAUGCAAAGCUGCAGAGCAUCUGGCAAAGGCUUAUCACAGCUCUCCGCUGCUUCUGGACAGUCUCACCACUGUCAGCAGUCUCCAGGGCAAGAGGGGAGCUUCAGGCCGUGGUGAGAGCCAGCCGGAGCUCCUGCGUGCCCCAAAACCAGCGUGGCCAGGUGCUGGCUGCCCUGGGGAUCAGGGAUCUGGGGUUGUUGCAAAGAGGUCCCAUGUGGCCCUUGAGGUUCCCUCCUCACUGCUGGCCAAGAGGGAAGCAGUGACCCAGGAGGGAGCAGCUUGCAACAAGGUGGGGYGAAGCCCUAAUAGAUCUUGAGCGUGUAGACGGAGAGAUGAUGGAAGUAGGAAGAGAUGCCACCAAAAGAGACCCCAGACUGUCUUAUCACUGAGCGGUGGCAUUUCUUAUCUCCUGCUGGGAUCCCAGCUUCACCRCAGCCUGGAGAGGAAACUUGGUCUUUGGGGCUGCCAACGCUGGGCAAUGUUGGUCCCUGCUGAGGGACUUGUCCACCCUGUCCUCCAGGAGCUCUGAGCAGUGGAUGGCCGUAUCUCCACUCCUUUGGGCCCCAAAGCUCCUCACAAGUCCCACCACAUGUAUCAGUGGCGUGUGGGCACCAGCCAUCACUGCUGCUCCUCUCGACUCCUUUUCUCCUCUCUGUUUUUGGAAAUCUUCUGCCCAGCUCGUGUCCCCACCACAUUUACAGGCGGUUUAUAACAUGCAUGGAAGGACCCGAGCCUGGUCCGCCUGCCCUUCCCGCCCGGAGCUGAGC
rnacentral:lncRNA from 1 species